UACGAAGGGGGGCUAGCGUUGCUCGGAAUCACUGGGCGUAAAAGCGCACGUAGGCGGCUUUCUAAGUCAGGGGGUGAAAUCCUGGAGCUCAACUCCAGAACUGCCUUUGAUACUGGAGAGCUUGAGUCCGGGGAGAGGUGAGUGGAACUCCGAGUGUAGAGGUGAAAUUCGUAGAUAUUCGGAAGAACACCAGUGGCGAAGGCGGCUCACUGGCCCGGUACUGACGCUGAGACGCGAAAGCGUGGGGAGCGAACAGG
rnacentral:rRNA from 1 species